CCUACGGGCGGCAGCAGUGGGGAAUAUUGGGCAAUGGGCGCAAGCCUGACCCAGCAACGCCGCGUGAAGGAAGAAGGCUCUCGGGUUGUAAACUUCUUUUAUCAGGGACGAAGCAAGUGACGGUACCUGAUGAAUAAGCCACGGCUAACUACGUGCCAGCAGCCGCGGUAAUACGUAGGUGGCAAGCGUUAUCCGGAUUUACUGGGUGUAAAGGGCGUGUAGGCGGGAAAGCAAGUCAGAUGUGAAAACCAUGGGCUCAACCUGUGGCCUGCCUUUUAAACUGUUUUUCUUGAGUACUGGAGAGGCAGACGGAAUUCCUUGUGUAGCGGUUAAAUGCGUAGAUAUUAGGAGGAACACCAGUGGCGAAGGCGGUCUGCUGGACAGCAACUGACGCUGAGGCGCGAAAGCGUGGGGAGCAAACAGGAUUAGAUACCCCUGUAGUC
rnacentral:rRNA from 1 species